UAACGUGCUACAUAUCUUUCACAGUUCAUUUUUGUAAAAUAUGUUUCCACAACUCACUACCCAAACCAAUGGCUCUAAACUAUCUUGUUGUACUAGCUAAUACUCUUUAGUGCCAGGUUAAGAAGACAAUAAAGAGUACCUAGACACGCAGCUUAAAUAUAUCUUGUGUACAAUUUUAAGUCAUGCUGUUGCAACCUUCUCAGGAGCCUGAUUAUUUUACAUAACAAUCACGCGCGUUGCGAAAACAUAACGCAAAAUUACUUUCCG
rnacentral:lncRNA from 1 species